CCCCGGCCAGCCGCGGGCCCAGAAUAGCAGCGCUGCCCUGCAGUCAGCAUGGAGCAACUCUCCAGCCCUGCUGCUCCCCAGAUGGUGCUGCUGGAUGCUGCUGCCCGCCCCAUGGAGGAAGGUGUGCCCACAGGGUUCCCAGAGGCACUACAUCCCAGGGGGGAAGAGGAGGAGGAGGAGGAAAAGCAGAAAGGCUCCGGGCCCAUCACUUUCACGCUGGGCAAUGAGAUCCUGGGGCUGGAACCUGACAACAAUUUCCAGAGCCCUGAUGCUGAGGUCUACAUGCACUUCAUGAGGAGUCACUGCUGCUAUGACGCCGUCCCCACCAGCUGCAAGCUUGUUGUCUUCGACACCACGCUGGAGAUCAAGAAGGCUUUUGUGGCACUGGUGGCCAACGGGGUGCGGGCAGCCCCACUGUGGGACAGCAAGAUGCAGACCUUUGUGGGGAUGCUCACCAUCACUGACUUCAUCAACAUCCUGCACCGCUACUACCGCUCGCCCCUGGUCCAGAUCUACGAGGUGGAGGAGCACAAGAUUGAGACGUGGAGAGAGGUGUACUUGCAGGGCUCCUUCAAGCCACUGGUCUACAUCUCCCCAAGUGAUAGCCUCUUCGACGCCGUCUACUCCUUGAUCAAGCACAAGAUCCAUCGCCUGCCUGUCAUUGAGCCCAUCUCAGGCAACGUGCUGCACAUCCUCACCCACAAACGCAUCCUCAAGUUCCUCCACAUCUUUGGCUCCACCAUCCCCAAGCCGCGCUUCCUAAAGAAAACAGUACAGGAGCUGUGUGUCGGCACCUUCCGUGACGUGGCUGUCGUACCUGAAAACGCUCCUGUGUAUGCUGCUCUGGAGAUCUUUGUGGACCGCCGUGUCUCUGCGCUGCCCGUUGUUAAUGCUGCAGGUCAAGUGGUUGGGCUCUACUCCAGGUUUGAUGUCAUUCACCUGGCAGCCCAGAAGACCUACAACAACCUGGAUAUCAGCGUGCGGGAGGCGCUGCAGCAGCGCACUGUGUGCCUGGAGGGCGUCCUCACUUGCUACCCCCACGAAACCAUGGAGGACAUCAUCGACCGCAUUGCUGAGGAGCAGGUCCAUCGCCUGGUUCUGGUGGAUGAGAACCGGUACCCGCGGGGCAUCGUCUCUCUCUCUGACAUCCUCCAGGCCCUGGUGCUCACUCCCGCAGGUAUCGAUGCUCUUAACUCUUAGCCCACGACGCUCCAUCUUUCUCCAUUCGCACCCUCCAUUUCUCUCCACUUCAGGCAUUGACCGACACUCGCUCUGAGGACACCAGGGAAGUGCCACAGGCUCAUCCAAUGCAGGACCUCUUGCUUGGGUACCGCAGGGCCGUGGAAGGAGGCUUGGGGCCCAGGGGCUCUCCAUGGGGGGGGGCUGCCCACCUGCCCUGGCCCUGGGAUUCACUCUGAGCCUGGGGCCAACUCCUGCCAACCUUGGGGAGGAACAGAGCAGGGGGAAAAAGGGUCCAAGGGUGCCUCCAGACUGCGAGCACACAGGGAUGCUCAGUAGGCACCAUGCCACCAGGAGCUGUGCAGCUGGACAAAUGGACACCUGCAUGGCCCUGGGGGACCUGCAACAUCCCCCCCCUCCUGGCAACUGCUGUCCCCUCUGCUACGAGACCCCAGUGCUUCAGGUCCCACUGUUUGUGGUGGGUGCCUGGGAGGAGCGCAUGGCUCAGCUGCACGCACAGGCUUGUUUUUUGUAGGGUCUCCAGGGCUUGAGUGCCCUGGUAGAGGUGCUCGCAAGGGGACCCUGUACACUGAUAUGGGGAUGGGGGGUAUUUAUUUAUUUGCCAGUCUCUUCAGCCUUGCUGGAAUAAAGCAGCCUGCCCUAGGCA